UUGACCCAUUUUGUGGGUAGAGAGACGGAUACACUUUGAAAGACAGAAACUAUUUUUUUUCCUAGAAGAGGAUUUAUAGGAUGACAAUAAACUCAGAAGAGAUUCCCCCUCACACAUACUCAUAUGAUUUGUUGGGUCAGAAUUCCGUCAGAUUUUAACUGGGUCCUCUACUGAGCGUCUUAUAGACUUGAAGUCAAGGUGUCAGCCAACUGAGCACCCAUGUGGAGUCCUGACUAAGGCAAAUUAGAGUGUGGACUUCCUGGCUAAUUACCCUUAUCCUGACUCCCAGAG